rnacentral:rRNA from 1 species
GAUGAACGCUGGCGGCGUGCCUAAUACAUGCGAGUCGAGCGAACGGACGAGAAGCUUGCUUCUCUGAUGUUAGCGGCGGACGGGUGAGUAACACGUGGAUAACCUACCUAUAAGACUGGGAUAACUUCGGGAAACCGGAGCUAAUACCGGAUAAUAUUUUGAGCCGCAUGGUUCAAAAGUGAAAGACGGUCUUGCUGUCACUUAUAGAUGGAUCCGCGCUGCAUUAGCUAGUUGGUAAGGUAACGGCUUACCAAGGCAACGAUGCAUAGCCGACCUGAGAGGGUGAUCGGCCACACUGGAACUGAGACACGGUCCAGACUCCUACGGGAGGCAGCAGUAGGGAAUCUUCCGCAAUGGGCGAAAGCCUGACGGAGCAACGCCGCGUGAGUGAUGAAGGUCUUCGGAUCGUAAAACUCUGUUAUUAGGGAAGAACAUAUGUGUAAGUAACUGUGCACAUCUUGACGGUACCUAAUCAGAAAGCCACGGCUAACUACGUG